GACGAACGCUGGCGGCGUGCUUAACACAUGCAAGUCGAACGGAAAGGCCUGCUUUCCCUUGUGGAUUGCGGGUACUCGAGUGGCGAACGGGUGAGUAACACGUUAGUGAUCUGCCCCCAACUUGGAUAUAAGCCUGGGAAACUGGGUCUAAUUCCCGAUAGGACUGCAGGGUGGUGCCUGUGGUGGAAAACGAUUUUCUAGUGGUUGGGGAUGAGCUCGCGGCCUAUCAGCUUGUUGGUGGGGUAAUGGCAUACCAAGGCGGCGACGAGUAGUCGGCGUGGGACGCUGUACGCCGACAUUUGGACUGGGUUACGGCGCCGACUCCUACGGGCGGCAGGAAUGGGGACUCUUGCAGUUUAGUCGCUAGCCUGAUACAUCGCCUCCGGGUGGCAGAUUGCGGCCUUCGGGUCGUUACCUGCUUUCGACCGUGUGGAAGUCACCUUGUUUGUAGGGUGGUGACGGUAGUGGUAGAAGAAGCACCGGCUAACUACGUG
rnacentral:rRNA from 1 species